rnacentral:lncRNA from 9 species
AAAAAUUUUUUUAAAUGCCCCACAGCAGCGACCUGAGCAGCUGCAGUGAAAAUGCUAGAUCUUUAACCUGCUGCACUGUAAGACAACUCCAGCACUUUUUUUUAAUGUGACAACUCAUGCCUGAAUCAUGAUCAGAAAUGUAGUGGUUUGCAAGUAAUUUUUAGAGAGUUGAAAGUUGGUAAUGAUUUAUUUAUAAAGGAGAGUAGAUUCAUUAGUUAUUUCUGCUUACUUCAUUCAGUUACACAUUCAAAUUAAAAAGAAGAGUUGGAGUUACAGAUAACAUGUGAAUUGCUAUAACCCAUAAGUCUAUCUUUCCUAUAAGCUCUUUUGUACCCAGGAGGAUUUGUAAAGUCUGUGGACAUCUGACCAGGGUACCAAGGCAGAAAAAAGGUCAGUGGUCCAACAGAUAGGUGUCUUUGGUAAACUUUAGCAAGUCAAAAUUUAAUAGCCCUUAUUAGCCCUUUAUUAAAUAAAAUUCCUACCUUUAUUUAAUGUUGUAAGACAUAAUCAUGAAAAUGUUUGCAUUCUCCACUAUUUUUUACUGUUUCUUAAGGAAAAGUAAAUUCUUUAUCUUUUGCUAUCAUGUAAUUUAAUAGUUCACCUCUUUACGAACUUGAAAAUCUUAAAGAUUAUUUUCCCCUUGAAGCAUCAUUUCCUUUGCUCAUCCUGGAAAGUUCACUCAGUAUAGCCUUCUGUGGUUGUAAAAGUUUUUUCCAAAGCUUUGGUAGAAUCCUUUCUUUAUUCCAAUCGAUCUGCCACAGGAAAAAACGUCUUUACUUACACUUUACUCCUUAGUCCCCCUGUACUAACAGGGCAGGAGGCAGUAACAUUGUCACAGAUAAAUCUAUGCUUUUUCUUGUGUGUUGCUGCUGUGGCUGUUAGUUGUGGUUCCCUGCAGUUUUGAACUUCCUGGUUCCCUCAAUGCCAGUGGAGGCUUUUCCCAGCAUUCCCUUUUGCAGGUCCUCUAAAGGAAUUGCAAGAUUUUAAUUUCCUCUAUUAAAUGACAUUUUGCUAGAAAUGCCUAUGAAGGCUUCUCCUUAGCCAUCUACACCAUGGAUAAUACAUUUUUCAGGCUGUUCCAUGCUUCCCUUGUACACGGUUCUAGAUAACUCUGAGUGAGCCAUAAAUGUAGUCUAUGUAUAGAGCUUCUCUCAACUAUGCAAAUGUCUAUCCUUAAUGGUCUUUUAAAAAUAAAACAGAUCUAAUCCUGAACCAAAAUGCAUCUUUACUGGAUUCCUACAGAGCUAACACCUUACUUUUCUACAAGUUGUAUAAUAAAAGUGGGGAAAGCAUACUGUUUACAUUCUUAUAGAUGUAUAUUCAAAUCCAUUUUAAUAUUUACCUGUCUCAUCAAUUCAGUUUCCUUGAUGGAUAUUUACUGAGCAAUAACAUGGUGCCAGGAACUGCAAGUAACCUCUGAUACCACAAAGAUUAAAACCCUGGUCCCAUACCUUCAUAUGUUUCAUAUGCAACAAAGAUUGGAAAAAGAAAUCUGUAGGAGUAAAACAUAUAGGUACUGAACAGCCUUCCAAGUCAUAAAAAUAUUUUGGCAUAAGGCUGAUGAGGAAAUAUUAAAGAGUUUUCAACAGAAAAGUAAUUUGAUAAAAUUUGAGUAUUUGAAAAAUCACUCCUGCUAGUGGGUAAAAGUUGGAUUGGAUGGAAAAACUAUGAGAUGGAGGAAGAACAAUUAGGAAGUUACUACAUUAAACCAGGUGAGAGAUGCAGGGGUCCAGAGAAAUAAUGACAGCCUGAACUAUGGUGGGGAGCAUAGGGAUGGAGAAAUGUGAAUUGAUUCAAGAAACAUCUAAGAAUUAGAACAAAAUGUGAGAAGUAAUUGGACAUGUGUGAAAAAGAGACACAGAGUCAAGGGGGACUCAAAGUGUCAAAGUGUCACUCUUUUGGGUGGACAGCAGGGUCAUGACAGGGAUAGGAAAUAUGGAGACCAGAGUAGAGGUGGAGCGGUGUGUGGAUCCAAAUGGCAGGUAUUGACAAGCCUGGUUUUAUCUGCUGGUGAGAUGCCGUGGGGGCAGGUCAAGGAGGCUGGUAGAGAGGCAGGUGUGAAGUUCAGAAGAAAGGUCUGAUCUGCAAACAGAGAUUCAGGCAUUGUCAGAAUAUGGAUUACAUCAGCAGCCAUAGGAGCGAGUCCACUGACUCAAGUUCAUGUGCAGACUGGAGAUAGUACUAGACUAACUGUCCAGGAGCCACAAUUAUUUCCCUUUUUUCAGUUGUGUCAAAGGUUGACUAUCUCAUCUUGGAUAGGAACUCUGACAUAAAAUAGCACACCUUUGUCUAAUUUCCCAAAUUCUUUUUAUUUCAGCAGGUAAAAUCACCAGGAAAGACAUUUUAUUAAUGAGUUAGAAUUAAUUAGAUCAUAUGUUUUAAUUGCAUUCUAAUAAAUUACUAUGAUAACAGGUGAUACAGUAGCAUGCACAUUUCCUACAGUGUAAGAAUUCUCAAAGAGGAAAAAAAACCCUUUAACCACAAAUAUCUAUUAGUAUCUUAAGCAAAGUAACUGAUAUUUAAAAGACAAAAAGCUUCUUGAACCAUUACAUUAAAUCCAGAAGAAAAAUGAAUUAUUCAAUUAUAUAUUACAGAUAUAUAUUGUUUGUUAACUUCUUAUUCAGUAUUAUACCUAAUUGAACUUCUAUGGUUUCCUUUUCUUUUCUUCUUCUUCUUUUUAUUUUUUAUUUUUUGUCUUUUUAGGGACACACCCAAGGCAUAUGGAAGUUUCCAGGCUAGGGGUCAAAUCGGAGCUGUAGCUGUCAGUCUACACUACAGCCACAGCAAUGCCAAAUCUGAGCUGCAUCUGCAACCUCUACACCACAGCCCACAGCAACACUGGAUCCUUAACCCACUGAGUGAGGCCAGGGAUCAAACCAACAUCCUCAUGGAUACUAGUCGGGUUCAUUACCACAGAGCCAUGACAGGAACUCUGCUUCCAUGGUUUUCAUUCUUUUUUAGUGUUCCAAAGUUGCAGAACACGUCAAGAGCAGUCUUUUAUUCCUAGCAUGGAAAUAGUUCAAUAAAGGUCAGAAUAUGUAUUUUAAAUGUAUUCAUAAAAUAAAUCUCUCC